AUGUUGAGAUGGUUGAGUUUCAUGCUGCUGAUCUUUGCGCAUUUUGAGUGGGAAGGACAAGAGAUCCCUAUAGUACUUCAUGGGUGCUCCAAAUUAGAGAAGGCUACGAUAAUGUUCAGAGGCAGCAAAGGACUGGCCCCUGUAUUCACUUUAGUUCCGAGCAUUUUGCCAGUGAAGUUGCAAAAUCUGACAACAAGACCACAUGGCACGUUUAUGCAUUUGAGGCACAUGACCUGUCAAUUAACUGUCUUCUCUAGGCAGCCAAACGCCGACAACAGAAUUCUUCAACUUGCCCGCUGCUUGGAUAUUUCGCCCCGACUGGAGACGUUGUAUUUGGAUAUGGUAUAUCUGAACCUCGAGGGCGGUGGGAGCGAUGAUGUUCGUAUACAUGGGUCUCCCACAUGCGUCACCAUGAUCAUCUCAAGACGGUCUGCAUUGCUCAGGUCGCGGCUGGUAUGUUUCCCAUCCAGGAUCAUGGCAUCUAGCGUGCUGCGCCGGAGGUCAGCAGAUGGGCACAGCUUACCCUGGGGCGCUUCGGUAAGGUGCCGCUGGAGCUACUUCCUAACUGAUGAAAGAACUUGA
rnacentral:rRNA from 1 species